GUGUACGUGAGAACGUCACUGUGGGUCACGGGUCAUUGAGACAUCUGAUCUGCACCGUUGAAAUACGAAGUCAAAAUUGUGGAAGUUAACUUGGAUAGCACUAUUGUCAGUCGUCUUCCCAAGAAAUUUGUUUUUAGCCCUAUUAAAAGUUAAGGCAGUGCAUGUGGGAUGAUAUCCACUAUAGUGUCUCGAUCCACCCAAAAAAGUGUGUUGACAAGGCAUCCCCUUUAUGAGAGAAUAUUUGCAUGAGCUGGAAAGGGUGGGUGGAGCACAACGUGGCAGAAUAAAGAUUCUAGUGAUGGGAAUUACAAUGGCAGGAAAGACAAGCCUCGUUGAAGCACUUGAGAGUGGUAACCCAUUUCUGGCAAGUCGACAAGAACUAUAAGCGUGGAAGAAAAAGCGAUGAAGCUGGGUGAUAAAAUAGAAUGGAAAGUGCUGGACUGCUGUGGUCAUAAGGCAUACAUGCUAACCAACCAGCUGAUGGUUAGUGAUAAUUCAUUGGUAUUGAUCAUCAUCGAUGGCAGUCAGUAUCAGUUUACUUCACACUGUUUUUGUUACAAUAUUGACGAUUUCCUGCAAGCUUGUAUGAGAAAAACAGCAGACCUCAUGUUGCUAUUGUGGUCAGUAAAGUUGACCAGAUAGUCAAAAUGUCAAGAGACGAAAUGAGUAGAAAGUGGAAUGAACAUCUGUACACUUGUCUACAUCAAUUCCUGGAGAUCAGGCGAGAUCAGAUCAAGCAAAUGGAAGCAGCCACUGCAGCUUAUUCUUGUGAAAAUGAAUAAUGAAUACAUGUCAACACGUCUUCAAUUUUUUUUAAUCAUAGCUAAUAAGAAUUGUUGAAUAAAGGUAAUAAUGACAGGUGCCGCCACAUACAAAGGUGUGGUCAGUCUAAAGGAUCAUCUAAGAGAAUUGUGUGUAGAUGAAGGUCUACUGUCUUCACUGCACACAGAGUUGCAGUCAUCAUGGGUAACUGUAGAAGACAAGUUGGUUAUAGGAGGUCUUUUAAUGUCUGUCCAUUACAGAUGUCUCUUAUGCAAUCCAACUGUGUGAAGAGCAUGGACUAACAACAAGUUGGUAGCAUUUUCGUAUUACUCUUGUCAAGCGACUUUAUCGCAAGUUCUAUUUCCUGUUCCACCAUUUGUCAUCGAUGUGCUAAAAGUUGUUUUCAGACAUGAUAAUCAUCUUUUGAAAUAACUAUCGCUUUAUUGAAGCAGACAUAGGUUCAGAGCAGUUUGAGGAAAUGAAAAUUGACCUUGUUCAUAAUGACAUUGUGAGGAUACCUAUGCUGCUAGCGUUGUGGAGUGAAUUCCACCUUACUGCAGAUUACUAUGUGGACAUGUUUAUUAAGCUAUUUCUUGCUCUGGACUUUGCUUAACUCACUGGCUUAUCUGAUGUUGAAGUUCAAGAACUGUCAGACACUCGAGGUCUUGGUAGACACGCGAUUACGUCAGUCGUACCAAUGCCUACAAACACCAUCAGCCCGACACCAUAUUUAUAAAAUGAUAGGAGAAGUCAGCAAGCAAAUCAGGCAGACAGUUAACAAAGAACUGAUUUGCAAGCUAAAACAACAUAUAUUGGCUUGUUGUUGCCCUAGUUACUUAAUGAUGAAUAACCGAAUGAUGUGAGUCAACUUUGGUCUGCAGACUUACCAGAUGGAGUGAUGUACGUUGUGGUCAAAUACUCAUUUGCUUAUGACCGUCCUUUGAGUCUGUUUGAAUGACUGUCUGCUUAUUGUCAUCAUCAUUCCAAUUAUAUUCAUCACUGGAGCAGUGGGCUACUGAUAUACAUGUUAUGGUGCGGUUACUUUCCUUUUCAAUUGCAGCCAGAAUGCUUCACCUGGCUUUAUAUGUCUCUGGUAGAGUAGUCAAGUCACAUCACAUCAUAGUAUGGACAGAUUGUGGCAUCUUCUUCUUUGUUGUGUGUCAGAUAUGGAGGAUCUUCUCCAGUCUGUUCCUGGUAUUCUCGUUAAUUGAUCCAUUUGCAGUGCUAUUUCUUCUAUUACAUAGAAACUGUAGUCAAAAGUUUUAGUGCAAAGAUGUCAGAACACCUGCAAGCCAUAGAACAAGUGUGUUCAAGUGCAAGGAAACGUAUUCCUUUCUGUCAAAUUGUUUCACCUGAGAGUGGAAGUGCAGUGUCUCAAAAGGUUCUCCAACAGAUAGCAGCAGAUAUAGGAAAGUGGUGGCCUAAACUAAUGAGUAUUAUCAGUACUGACCAGUCUAUGGUGUCAGAGCUUUGUGAGAGCAGUUGUGAGUCUAUAGUUUUGCUCUAUAGCAGCAGCAUCUCGUAUGUUGAGUAAGUGGCAAGACUUGAGAAACAAUGAUUUGAAGGUAUGUGAAUUAUAUGAUGCUCUACUCGUUGCUGACAUUCCAUCUUUACCCCAACGUCAUUUGAGUGAUGUCAUGUCACCUGAUGCAGUAUCUGGAUUAGCAAAUCUAAAGAGAUGGAUGCAUGUGGUGAGACAAAUCCAGCUGACUCUGAGAUAGUCACUCCACUCAUGAUAGAGAAAGUAGCCAAAAAUGGUUUAGAGCGUUGGCAUGAAAUUGGCAUAUACCUUGGAGUUUCACGUUCAGUACUGACUGAAUGUGACCAACCUCUGUACACAGUAAAAGAAAAAUUUCGUAAACUUUUAACAGCUUGGAGUGAUCAAAACAGACAGGCUACGGUUGACCGGUCGUUGUCUGCUUGAUGAUAAGGCUAAAGUGGGAGGGAUAUAUAGUGAGGAGAGCAUUGGAGCAGCUUGAUACGUCAGACUGAAUUUUACAGAAUAUUACGUAUAUUAUACUUUAAAUAACAGUUAUUUGUUUCAUUCAUUAAUUAAUUAACGUGUUAUCCUACAAUAAACUCAAAUUGUGAAGAAAUUUGGAAUGAAUGUACAUGUGUUACACUAUAUUGAUAUGACGCGCCAUUUGUGUCAUACUUAAUAUUCGCUAUUUCCACUGAAGUAGAAAUAAUUCAAGUUGAAAUUCAAUGCUACUUAAUUAAGUAGAAUUCAUUGUCAAUGAAGUGGAGUUCAUUUCUACGAAAUUCUAUAUACCUAUGUAUAAUUACAUGGAAAAUCUAAUAUGACGUGCCAUAGAACUGUGACGGUGUAAAGUUUUAGUAGUAAUUCUUUGUGUCUGAGUCCACUGCCCACCACCUUGUAGACACGCGCCUUACGUGUUUUAUCACGUGCUGUUUGGUUAACAAGUCUCGUGACUGGGUGUGUCUCGU